GGUGCCGGGUGAGGCACGUGUGUGCGUGUGUGUGCGCGUGUGCGAGGCGCGGGUGUGUGGUGCGCGGCGCGCGCCGGCCCCCCUACACGUUGAUCUUAUUCGAUCGGCCGGCGGCGCCGGGCCGAGGUGAGAAGAGCGGCGCCGCGAAGCCCGCGGGCGAUGUGCGGCGGCCCAGCGGCGGGCGGGAUGAGUCGAUCAGAUAGGCGAGGCCGCGGCCGCUGAGCGCCCUGCGAUUCUGACCCG